GCCGGGGCUGGUAGUCUGCACCUGUAGUCCUAGCUACUGGGGAGGCUGAGGAGAAAGGAUCGCUUGAUCCCAGGGAGUUCUGGGCUGUAGUGCACUGUGUCAAUAGAUGGGAUGUCCGCGCUUAAGUUCAGGAGGGAGGGGCCCCCCAGGUUGCCUAAGGAGGGAUGCACUGGCCCAGAUCGGAAACGGAGCAUGUCAAAACUCCUCUGCUGAUCGGUAAUGGGAUCAUGCCUGUGAACAGCCACUGCGCUCCAGCCUGGGCAACAUAGGGAGACCCUGUCUCU
rnacentral:SRP_RNA from 1 species